ACUCUAUCUUUAUUCUCGUCCGAAUAAUAAGUUAUUUAAGAGAUCUAUCG
rnacentral:tRNA from 1 species